GACAACGGCUCUGACCGUCAGGGAGGCCGCGUGGCGCCCGCGCCGGGCUUCCUGCAGGGGACUCUACCGGAGCCUUGCCACUUCCGUUUGUUUCCCUGUUGUCGUACGCUUCACCCUGGAUCAUGUUCAAGAAGUUUGAUGAAAAGGAAAGUGUGUCCAACUGCAUCCAGUUGAAAACGUCAGUUAUUAAGGGCAUUAAGAGCCAACUGGUAGAGCAAUUUCCAGAUAAGAAAACUGAAGCUCAGAGAGGGCACUGCCUUCCCCAAGGUCACCCAGCUACAAGUAACAAAGCCUGUGCUUCUAACACCAAAGACCACUUCCCGCUGACACUGUGCCAGGCUUAGAUCAUCAAUUAUGAAUUUGACACCAAGGACCUGGUGUGCCUGGGCCUGAGCAGCAUCGUUGGCGUCUGGUACCUGCUGAGGAAGCACUGGAUUGCCAACAACCUUUUUGGCCUGGCCUUCUCCCUUAAUGGAGUAGAGCUCCUGCACCUCAACAAUGUCAGCACUGGCUGCAUCCUGCUGGGUGGACUCUUCAUCUACGAUGUCUUCUGGGUAUUUGGCACCAAUGUGAUGGUGACAGUGGCCAAGUCCUUCGAGGCACCAAUAAAAUUGGUGUUUCCCCAGGAUCUGCUGGAGAAAGGCCUCGAAGCAAACAACUUUGCCAUGCUGGGACUUGGAGAUGUCGUCAUUCCAGGGAUCUUCAUUGCCUUGCUGCUGCGCUUUGACAUCAGCUUGAAGAAGAAUACCCACACCUACUUCUACACCAGCUUUGCAGCCUACAUCUUUGGCCUGGGCCUUACCAUCUUCAUCAUGCACAUCUUCAAGCAUGCUCAGCCUGCCCUCCUAUACCUGGUCCCCGCCUGCAUCGGUUUUCCUGUCCUGGUGGCGCUGGCCAAGGGA
rnacentral:sRNA from 1 species